CCUACGGGAGGCAGCAGUGGGGAAUAUUGCACAAUGGGGGAAACCCUGAUGCAGCAACGUCGCGUGAGGGAGGAAGUAUUUCGGUAUGUUAAGCUCUAUCAGCAGGGAAUAGAAAAGAAGGUACCUGAAAAUGCAGCCCCGGCUAACUACGUGCCAGCAGCCGCGGUAAUACGUAGGGGGCCAGCGUUAUCCGGAUUUACUGGGUGUAAAGGGAGCGUAGACGGAAAGGCAAGUCAGAAGUGAAAACCCAAGGCUUAACCAUGGGACUGCUUUUGAAACUGGCAAACUAGAGUACGGGAGAGGUAAGAGGAAUUCCUAGUGUAGCGGUGAAAUGCGUAGAUAUUAGGAGGAACACCAGUGGCGAAGGCGGCUUACUGGACCGAAACUGACGUUGAGGCUCGAAAGCGUGGGUAGCAAACAGGAUUAGAUACCCGAGUAGUC
rnacentral:rRNA from 1 species